rnacentral:rRNA from 1 species
UACGUAGGGGGCAAGCGUUGUCCGGAAUCAUUGGGCGUAAAGAGCGUGUAGGCGGCCCGGUAAGUCUGUUGUGAAAGUCCAGGGCUCAACCCUGGAAUGCCGAUGGAUACUGCCGGGCUAGAGUUCGGAAGAGGCGAGUGGAAUUCCUGGUGUAGCGGUGGAAUGCGCAGAUAUCAGGAGGAACACCGAUGGCGAAGGCAGGUCUCUGGGCCACUACUGACGCUGAGAAGCGAAAGCAUGGGGAGCGAACAGG